GUUUUUGUAGUUGAAUAACAACGAUGGUUUUUCAGAUCAUAAGUUUUGGUUAUAAUAAGCCCAAACGAAAACA
rnacentral:tRNA from 1 species